CCUACGGGAGGCAGCAGUGGGGAAUAUUGCGCAAUGGGCGAAAGCCUGACGCAGCGACGCCGCGUGAGGGAUGAAGGUCUUCGGAUCGUAAACCUCUGUCAUCAGGGAAGAAUGGUCACUGUGCUAAUCAACAGGGAAUUGACGGUACCUGCAAAGGAAGCACCGGCUAACUCCGUGCCAGCAGCCGCGGUAAUACGGAGGGUGUGAGCGUUAAUCAGAUUUACUGGGCGUAAAGUGCUCGGAGGCGGUAUGUCAAGGCAAGGGUGAAAUCCCCGCGCUCAACGUGGGAACUGCCUUUGAUACUGGCAAACUGGAGUGUGUGAGAGGAUAGUGGAAUUCCAGGUGUAGGAGUGAAAUCCGUAGAUAUCUGGAGGAACAUCAGUGGCGAAGGCGACUAUCUGACACAUAACUGACGCUGAGGAGCGAAAGCGUGGGUAGCAAACAGGAUUAGAUACCCUAGUAGUC
rnacentral:rRNA from 1 species